rnacentral:rRNA from 1 species
GACGAACGCUGGCGGCGUGCCUAAUACAUGCAAGUAGAACGCUGAAGGAGGAGCUUGCUUCUCUGGAUGAGUUGCGAACGGGUGAGUAACGCGUAGGUAACCUGCCUGGUAGCGGGGGAUAACUAUUGGAAACGAUAGCUAAUACCGCAUAACAGUAGAUAUCGCAUGAUAUCUACUUGAAAGGUGCAAUUGCAUCACUACCAGAUGGACCUGCGUUGUAUUAGCUAUUUGGUGAGGUAACGGCUCACCAAGGCGACGAUACAUAGCCGACCUGAGAGGGUGAUCGGCCACACUGGGACUGAGACACGGCCCAGACUCCUACGGGAGGCAGCAGUAGGGAAUCUUCGGCAAUGGACGGAAGUCUGACCGAGCAACGCCGCGUGAGUGAAGAAGGUUUUCGGAUCGUAAAGCUCUGUUGUAAGAGAAGAACGAGUGUGAGAGUGGAAAGUUCACACUGUGACGGUAUCUUACCAGAAAGGGACGGCUAACUACGUG